rnacentral:rRNA from 1 species
CCCAGUUCGGAUUGUAGUCUGCAACCCGACUACAUGAAGCUGGAAUCGCUAGUAAUCGCGGAUCAGAAUGCCGCGGUGAAUACGUUCCCGGGUCUUGUACACACCGCCCGUCACACCAUGGGAGUCGGGAAUGCCCGAAGUCAGUGACCCAACCCAAGGGAGGGAGCUGCCGAAGGCAGGCCUGGUGACUGGGGUGAAGUCGUAACAAGGUAUC